rnacentral:sRNA from 1 species
UUAUAAUGAAAUUAAUCAUUAUAAUAAACAAAAGGGGAUGGACAAUGUGGGGACUAUUGUUUGCCAAGACUGCCAAGAAGUAAUUGAACAUUAUGAAGAGGAAAAAGUAACAACUCUUUACGGUACAUGUCCUAGUUGUAACUCAAAUAAUAGAUAAUAAACUAAGCCAUCACUAUUUUAAGUAGUGGUGGUUUUUU